AGUGCUUUCGAAGGGGAGUAAGGAGCCAGGGUUGGGAAGGAGAUUUUGUAAGCAGCUAAGCCAAGGGCUUCACCUCUUCUACCCUAGGCUCACAGCAAACAGUGCAUCCAGGACAGCCACUGGCUCUGGUCCAGGGUCCUGCCCUGGCAUUCAGGGUUGUAAUUUACACAGGGCCUGUGAAUCCAGGGGGGAUGGAUGUCUGCUGGGCUGUCUUCCUCAGGAGAAGACGGGGAUAGUAGGUCGAUGGUUCCUCUCUCUCCUUCGUUCUCUCUUUUGCACGUGUCACCCAGACAACCCAGGUCCUUGGAGCAAGCAUGCCUCUCUUGCACGCACAGAGCACAGAGGAAGCUCAUCACUCCUGGUGAUUUCUCAGUUGCAACCCAUACACCGGGAUGAGUGUCCCAUGGUCUUCGCAUCUGCCAGAAAGCCAGGCCUCUGCCAGGCUCCAAUCAGAUGGGCUCUACAGGAAGCAAAGGGCACAUGCUCCCUGGAACAUGAAUCUUUCAAUGUUGUAUUUUCACCUCUUUGUCCCUUUUCUCUCAUUCCUUUUCCAAGAUGGGGCUGCCGGUUAAGAUUUGAUGCAGUUACUGGAUACACAUCUAGGACGGAGGCACAGAGAAAGACAGGAAGAGGGAGCAGGGGACGAGGCUGAGCAUAGUGUCGGCCCGGAAUCCUGCAGAGACCAGAGAAGCUGGGACUUGUCCGGGGUCAAGGGUGAAGAUGUAGAACUCAACUCCUCUUGCACCAUGCCUGCCUGGAUGCUGCGAUGCUGCGAUGCUCUUGAUGAUAAUGAACUGAACCUCUGAACCUGUAAGCCAGCCCUAAUUAUAUGUUUUCCUUUAUAAAACUUACAUUGGUCAUGGUGUUUGUUCACAGCAAUAAGGCCCUAAUUAGGACAGAAGUUGGUACCAGGAGUGGGGUAUUGCUGUGACAGGCCUGGCCAUGCUUUUGUUUGGAAGAAGAUGGAUUUGGGGACUUUGGAUUUGGAAAGUAGUGGAAUGCUUUAAAUGGGGCUUAAUGGGCUAUCUUAGUAGGAAUGCAGAAGUCUUUGUUACUGCGUGAUUUGAAUUGUGCAGGCCUGGCCCAAGAGGUUUCAGAGGAAAAGAAUUUCGGUAUGUGCUGUAAAGGUUGCUUUUGUGGUAUUUUGGUGAAGAAAGUGACUGCUUUUUGCUCUUGUCUGAAGAGUUUGCCUGAGGCUAAGGUAAAAAGACUCAGAUUAAUUACAUUAACAAAGGGAGUCCCAGAAACACCCAUCAUAGACUUUGUUCUCUGGUUAAGUCUCAUGAAGAGCAUUUUAAUGAAAAAAGGGAAGUUGAAAAAGGAAAAAUACAAAAUAUAUGGUAUGAGUAUUAAAGGGACACCCAGAAGUGAAAUGGAGCUGAAUCAUAUAUUCAAGAAUAUUAAAUUGAAUUAAGAGAGUAAUGACCUUGGGGAAAGUUAGCUCCAGGCAACUUAGUACAAACCUUUAAUCCCAGGAGACAGGCAUACAGAUCUCUAAAUUCAAGCUCAAUCUCCAGAGCAAGAUCCAGGACAGUCAAGCUUAGGUAGUGAAGAAGUUAGAAAUGUAAUAGAACAAGGGGGCCAUGUUCCAGCUCCUGCAAGCAUCAGAACUCAGUAGCUUUGGCCUUGUGUCUCUGACUUUAUAUUCAAAAGGAGAAGGAGACUACUGUGAAAUUGAUGCUGAUUAACUGGAGCUAAGAAAGAGAUCAACAUUGUGAAAUCUUCUGGGAAGUGUUUUCUGAGAGCACAAAGAAGCUGUGUUCCAGAGACAGCCAAGGUUGUACCUCAUGCUGCAGCUGUACUUGGUGAUAUGUAAGAGUCACCCAAGUGGUACUAGUUUUGAUGGCAUGAAGAGGUCAUGAAGAGCAGUUGAGGCUGGGCACUGUGAGAGGCCAUGGAAGGCCAUUGAUGAAUGUAUAGCCUCAGUUACAAUUGAUGGCCUAGCACUGAAUGGGUCAUGCAAAGAAGUUGAGGCUUGGCACCAUGAAGAGGGCCUCUGAGAGGCUAUUGGUGAAACAUAGUUGCAACGGAAGACCCCAGUAUAUUGGAGAUGGCAGUACCAUGGGAUGAUCACGAAGAACAGCUAAGGCAGUAGAGUGGGUCAACCUGAGUGCUACAGAGGACAGAGCUGGAGAAGUGAAGCCAGCCCUUUGGGAGAUCAUGUGUGGAUCCCAGACACUAAAACAAGCUGUAACAUUGAAGCUGCCUUGGAUGUUAAAGAUGCCAGAGCCAAGAGCUAUCUGAUGAGGAAAGCUGCUAACAGGGAGUAGAACUAGCUCAGGAGAAAGAAGUUUGUUACAGUCAACAAAGAUGAAAAAAGGAGUUGAAGAUCUGAAGAGCGCUUUGACAUCAGACAUGGAGAUGACCGAGUUUGAAGUUUGCCCAGCUGGUUGCCGGUCUUAAUUUGGGGAUUAUGGUUAAGUGAUUGGGUGGAUCUCAGAAGAGACUUUGAACUUUGGACUUUUAACAUUGUUGAUACUGCUAUAGACUAUGGGGACUUUGAAAGUUGGACCAAAUGUACUUUUUAAUUAUGCUAUGUUUAGGUAUAGCCUCCAAAGACUCAUGUGUUUAAACAAGCCUAUGGUGGCCAGGGAGUGGAUGCUGUCAUGCUUCCACCUUGACGAUGAUGAACUGAACAUCUGAACCUGUAAGCCAGCCCUAAUUAAAUGUUGUCCUUAUAAAAC